rnacentral:rRNA from 1 species
AAUAGAUACCCCGGUAGUCCACGCCGUAAACGAUGAGUGCUAAGUGUUAGGGGGUUUCCGCCCCUUAGUGGCUGCAGCUAACGCAUUAAGCACUCCGCCUGGGGAGUACGGUCGCAAGACUGAAACUCAAAGGAAUUGACGGGGGCCCGCACAAGCGGUGGAGCAUGUGGUUUAAUUCGAAGCAACGCGAAGAACCUUACCAGGUCUUGACAUCCCAUUGACCACUAUGGAGACAUAGUUUUCCCUUCGGGGACAACGGUGACAGGUGGUGCAUGGUUGUCGUCAGCUCGUGUCGUGAGAUGUUGGGUUAAGUCCCGCAACGAGCGCAACCCUUGUUCUUAGUUGCCAUCAUUUAGUUGGGCACUCUAAGGAGACUGCCGGUGACAAACCAGAGGAAGGUGGGGAUGACGUCAAAUCAUCAUGCCCCUUAUGACCUGGGCUACACACGUGCUACAAUGGACGGUACAAACGGUUGCCAACCCGCGAGGGGGAGCUAAUCCGAUAAAACCGUUCUCAGUUCGGAUUGUAGGCUGCAACUCGCCUACAUGAACG